rnacentral:rRNA from 1 species
UUGCUCCUACGGGAGGCAGCAGUGGGGAAUAUUGCACAAUGGGGGAAACCCUGAUGCAGCGACGCCGCGUGAAGGACGAAGUAUUUCGGUACGUAAACUUCUCUCAGCAGGGAAGAAAAUGGCGGUACCUGACCAAGAAGCCCCGGCUAACUACGUGCCAGCAGCCGCGGUAAUACGUAUGGGGCAAGCGUUAUCCGGAUUUACUGGGUGUAAAGGGAGCGCAGGCGGCUUGGCAAGUCUGAUGUGAAAGGCUGGGGCUCAACCCCAGGACUGCAUUGGAAACUGGUAGGCUGGAGUGUCGGAGG